GCUGGGUUCAGAACGUCGUGAGACAGUUCGGUCCCUAUCCGUCGCAGGCGUAGGAAAUUUGAGAAGACCUGUCCUUAGUACGAGAGGACCGGGAUGGACGUAUCUCUGGUGUACCAGUUGUCCUGCCAAGGGCAUGGCUGGGUAGCUAUGUACGGAAUGGAUAAGCGCUGAAAGCAUCUAAGCGCGAAGCCAACUUCAAGAUAAGAUUUCCC
rnacentral:rRNA from 1 species